rnacentral:rRNA from 1 species
GACAGAGGGUGCAAGCGUUGUUCGGAUUCAUUGGGCGUAAAGGGUGCGUAGGCGGCGCGGUAAGUCGGGUGUGAAAUUUCGAGGCUUAACUUCGAAACUGCAUUCGAUACUGCCGUGCUUGAGGACUGGAGAGGAGACUGGAAUUUACGGUGUAGCGGUGAAAUGCGUAGAUAUCGUAAGGAAGACCAGUGGCGAAGGCGGGUCUCUGGGCCGAUACUGACGCUGAGGAGCGAAAGCGUGGGGAGCGAACAGG